rnacentral:rRNA from 1 species
GAUGAACGCUGGCUCCAGGCUUAACACAUGCAAGUCGAGGGGAAACGACGGGGAAGCUUGCUUCCCCGGGCGUCGACCGGCGCACGGGUGAGUAACGCGUAUCCAACCUGCCUCUGACUGAGGGAUAACCCGUCGAAAGUCGGCCUAAUACCUCAUGGUAUCGUCUGCGGGCAUCCAACGACGAUUAAAGAUUUCAUCGGUCAGGGAUGGGGAUGCGUCUGAUUAGCUUGUUGGCGGGGUAACGGCCCACCAAGGCUACGAUCAGUAGGGGUUCUGAGAGGAAGGUCCCCCACAUUGGAACUGAGACACGGUCCAAACUCCUACGGGAGGCAGCAGUGAGGAAUAUUGGUCAAUGGGCGAGAGCCUGAACCAGCCAAGUAGCGUGCAGGAAGACGGCCCUAUGGGUGGUAAACUGCUUUUAUGCGGGGAUAAAGUGAGGGACGUGUCCCUCAUUGCAGGUACCGCAUGAAUAAGGACCGGCUAAUUCCGUG